rnacentral:misc_RNA from 1 species
CUUGAACCUGGUGAAUGCAUUAUCUGUGAUUUUGGCUAGAAUCCGCUGAGUUUCUGAGGGUGUUAUGAUUCUGGGUUAUUUGAAUCGGUGUGAGGCAGCAAGAAUCUGAUUUUGCAUAUUUUAAGGUAGUUCUUUUCUGCGUGCGUGGCGGGUCACCAUGUGGUAGCCGAGCUCAGCCCGCUGCGCCGCGGCCAUGGCGGCCAGAGACAGGCCGUCCGCCGAACCGACGGCCGGCUUCGUCUGCCCCGGAACAGAGUUCAUCCGGCAGGCGACCAACUAUGAGGAGAUCGGCCUCAUCGGAAACGGUGCGUACGGUACGGUGUACAAGGCGCGCGACCUGCGCAAUGAGGGCCAGAUGGUGGCGCUGAAGAAGAUUCGGGUGCGCCUCUCGGAUGACGGCGUUCCAAUGUCAACCCUGCGUGAGAUCGCUACUCUGCGGCAGCUGGAGAAGUCAGAUCACCCCAACAUCGUCAGGCUGCUGGACAUCUGUCACGGCCAGCGGUCCGAGCAGGGCAACCAGCUCAUCCUGGUGCUGGUGUUCGAGCACAUCGACCAGGACCUGUCGGCCUACCUGGAGAAGUGCCCGCAGCCCGGCCUCAGCCCCGGCCUCAUCAAGAGCAUGCUGUACCAGAUCCUGGCGGGUGUGGACUUCCUGCACAGUAACCGGAUCGUGCACCGAGACCUGAAGCCGCAGAACAUCCUGGUCACAAACGGCGGCGACGUCAAGAUCACCGACUUCGGCUUGGCCAGGAUAUACGACUACCAGAUGACACUCACCAAUGUGGUGGUAACGCUCUGGUACCGGGCGCCCGAGGUGCUCCUCCAGUCCUCGUACGCCACGCCGGUCGACAUCUGGUCGGUGGGCUGUAUUUACGCCGAGCUGUGGCGGCGGACGGCGCUCUUCUGCGGCAGCAACGAGACGGGCCAGCUCGUCAGGAUACUCGACGUGAUGGGCACGCCAGACGAGGCGGACUGGCCGGAGAACGUGUCCGUGCCGUGGUCGUCGUUCCACCGGCGCCAGGGAGUGCUCGACAAACUCGUACCUGAAAUCUGCGACCUGGGCCGCGACCUGCUCAAGCGUAUGCUGGCGUUCUCGCCCAGCCACCGGAUCACUGCUGCCGAGGCGCUGCAGCACGCCUACUUUGACGACGAGCGGAUGGCUCUCAGCUCGCCGUCGGGCGGCCAACUGUCCUGCUCGAGCGCCAAUGACUCGGGCACAUCGAACGCCAGCAGCGCGUGAGAGGGCGCGUCACAGACUGAGCGGUGGCCGCGGGCCGGAGAGUGGUGCUGGACCUACCUGAAGUGGCUGUAGCGGUGCUGACUGAGCGGCGCGGGCGCCGCGGUGUGCGCCGUACCGGCGCCGGAGGUUCAUUCCCAGUUAUUUGUUGACGCCUGCAUUCCCUGCGGGACCAUUGCGCUCGGACCGCUGCCGGUCCGGGCGGGUUUUGUACGUGUUGUGUCUGUGUUUGUGUGCGCGUGUGUUGCGGGCGGGUGGCCCCGCCAGGGCGGCCCGGUGCCCUCGGCCCGGGCGCGCCAUACCUCACAAACUGCCGGGUCGAUCGCCGCUGGCGCUCCUCCUUCCUCGGGCGCGUCGAGCCAUCCGCGGGCAUUUCCAGUGGUCUGUACAUAGGCAGCCGGCGGCGGGCGAGCCGCCCCUCUGUGUAUCAGUAGCCUCUCCGCCUCUGUUUCCUAGUCACUCGUCUGUCGUGGCGUGCCGAGGCCGUCGCCAGUCCUCCAGGUGCUACUGCGCAUGUGCAGCUUCUGCGCACAGUCCAGCCGGAAUUUCGUACUUAUGUCAGGCGCUAACAUAUCAACUAUCAGCUGCCGUGCGUGCCUUCGAGCGACCGUCCGGAGAGCGUCAGCCAGGUCUCCGUGAGGAAUCCACUAGGAUAAUGUGUAAUUUGUACAUGCUUUGUUUCGAUCGUUAUAUAUUUCAUACAAAUAUUUUGGGAAC